CUGGGGCCGGGGUGGGGACUCGCCUGAUCCCGCCCGCUGCCACCUCCCUUCCCCUCCCACCGCCCGCUGCGCGGAGCCCGGCAGAGCCCGGCGGGGCAGGCGGCGGAGCCGGGCAGCUCCAGGAAUUGGAAAAAAUCGGAAAGCUUUCUUUACUCUAGAUGGAAUCAGGUCAUUUUCAGUGUUACAGAUAGAGCCUGAGACCUUGAACUUCAUGCACUGCUCUGCAAGGAGCUAA
rnacentral:lncRNA from 1 species